UCAACUCUCAAGUCAAAAGAGUCGCGCUUAUCGUGCACGUGUUCGGACGUGUUUGUCCUGAAUAAAUUUUUGAAGAUUGCUGAUGCAAUCACAAUUUCCACUCAGACUUCGCUACGCGAUCAGUGAUUCAAGCUUUGUUAAACAAACAGUGGCAAAUCUGGCCGUAUUGUCCGCUGAAAAGCGGCAGGAGCCAAUAAAAAGUAAGAAGAAGAAGAAGAAGAACUCAAGUCAAAGGAUUCACGUCAAGGCUCGAGCCUCGAGGAAGGUUUUGAAAGACAAUGGAUUCUUGCUGGCGAUUUUGAUUCACAGUCCCGUUCUCAAUGAAUUCAGAUUAACCACGCAAUUAUUUCUGGGUGAAAUGCCACUUCUACUUCCUAUUCUCGUAAUUUAUCCAAGAGCGGUAGUAGUAUAUCAGGAUUUUCUUCCACGAUGUCCCUAUGCGAGGUAUUAGAACCACUUGAUUACGAGGAAUUCUUGGGACAGCAUCAGUCAGUGCUGGACCGUGAUCCUUUAAAACCAAUACCAGAUUUUCCACCGGGAGACGUCAAAUUGAGAGUCGUAAAGAGGAAGAUUCGAACAGAGGAGCCAGUAGUACCGCACGAAUCAAUUGAUACCGUGUCGCCUUAUGUGAAAAAAUGUUGAAAGUUUUACUUCAGACUGGGUCGUAAUACAUCGUAAAUACAAAGGUAGAAUCUCACUUAUUGCCAGAGACAGAUUGAUUCAGGAUACACUUAGACAAGAUUUCGAGGUAGAUCAAGAAGAUGCAAAUGGUUGUGUAUCACUGAACGAGGAGGAUGAUUUGUCCAAUUCCGGAGAUACUCCGAGAAGAUCUUGGGCAACUCUGGAUUUGCGGUAUUCGCAACAUGACUCUCUUCUGCCGAGUUUGUUAGAUCGUGUUUGCCUCGAAACGAUCGAUCAGAUGAACGAGCAGAAAAGAUUGGAGGAUCGACAGACGAGUCCGUAAGUCAACAACAGCGUGUAAAAAAAAGUAAUUGCUACUCUGAAAUGAUGUAUACAAAAUAGGCCAAGACAUGCCCAUUUUAUGAAGAAUUAGAUGAAAUUUUAGGCAAAAAGCCAUGCGUCAAGCCCGUUGCACUGGCCUCCAACAGGCGUCCCGUUCUGGAUAAAAUGUGCACGGAUGUAGACUGUAAAGAAGAACCUGAGAAAAAGAAGAAGAAAAGUAAAUCCGACGUUCUCGAUGAAAUUAGAGAGUGGAGGGUGGAGUCGAUGGAAUAUCGAAGAACCACUGAUGCCGAGAAGCAGAAACAGCGCGAGGAGCAACUUGAAAUUGCACGGAAGAGUAUCGAGUCUAUGGAUGCUCGCAUGGGUCAGUUAAUUGAUGUCUUGAAGAAAAAUUAAAGUUAUUCCUUCGGCUCUGGACGCAUAGUAUAUAACAAGUUCAAGUCCGUGGUAUCGUACGUGAUUGAUGAUCUACCAUUGUUCGAUAAGAAUGCAGUGGUUACUGUACCGAAGUUGUCGGUGUAUGAUUCACUUGACGAGGAAGUAAUAUAGAGUUAUCUGGAAUUCUCGCUCGCCUCGAUGAAGAAAGGCGCCUGCAGUGAGCAGUCCAGCCGUAUGACGGCCAUGGACAACGCCACCAAGAACGCCGGAGAGAUGAUCGACAAACUCACUCUCACGUUCAACCGCACUCAACGUAUAACGUUGUAACUUUAUAACGUUUGUAUUAUAUAUUAAGUACCAAAAUUGAAUUUCUAUCAGUUCGGAUAUCAGAAGCAUGUAACAACAUGAUCUUUUAAUCUAGUUAUAAAAGAUUACAGAUUCAUCAAUUUAGGAAGGUGUGGUAUCUCUUUCUUUUCUUACUUUUUAAUAUAAAAUAGUUGUUGUAGGUCACACAAUCUUGUGAUCGCGUAAUAAAAGGAAGAGAGAAAGGAAGGAGAUUCUAUAAUUGCAAUGUGUGUUUGCAGUACCGUAAGAAUUUUAAAGAUAAUUUAAAGUGUAUAAAAUGACGUGGCCUUUAGAGUACUAAAUAAGACGAUUACUUUUUAACUACAACCUUGUUUAUGUACUUCUAGCUUGUAUAUAGAACGAUAUUGCGUGAAUGAUGGAUGCAUUUUGUAAUCAAAUGCAGAAAUAUUUCGGUUUCUGCCAUGUCGCAUGACGUACGUAAUAAUACAAUUUUGCAAAAACGAUUUUCGAAGUUAGAGUUUCUUGUUGCUAGUUUGUAGUCUUAACACGUGUAAUAAUGAUUAUCGACUCGAGCGGUAUUUUUGAGUUGCACCGGACAUUUUGUAAAGGAGAAAUUUUUAAAAACCAUGAAAGCAACGCACAUACAAUUUUAAUUUCGUAAAUGCACAAUCCGAAUUUAUUAACGCUUACGAAUGAUUUAUUAAUGUUCAGCUCGAAAGUUUUGCUAAUUAGCGUUCUCAUUAUUAUGUAACAAACUGACAAAGAGAAAUAAAAUCUAUAUUUUUACAUAAGCAAUGCUGAGAAUGUAAGGGAUACAUAAUCUAUCCCUUAUCUGUAGACAAGAAUGCAUGUCUGAGAAGCUUACGUAACUGUGGGCUCGCACUUUUGUAAGGUAAACUUAAUUAUAGGCGCAGCGUAUUUAUGAAUUGUUUCAAGUGUAUACUAAGAAGUAUAGAAUUUUUAAUGAUUUUAUGUUUAAGGGAAAAACAUUUAGAGUACUCUUCAUUUCAAAUACUUAAACUCUGCCCUAUCGAUUUAUAUGUUAAGGGGCAGAUUAGGCGACUAUUAAGGGCUACUAAAAAUAUAUAUGUAUAUAUUUCACAAAUAUAUACAUAUAUUGGUAAAGCAAUAUACUCUUCUUGCUCGUUCAUAUUAUGUAACAAUAGAACUUAAUUCACUCCCCCUUUUUUUCUUUUUUUUUACCACCGUCAUUCACAUUAGUUGCAAUAACUCAUGUAUGGUGUUUGCAAUUUUUUCAUUUAUACCCUAAAUUAAUUGUUGCGACAGCAACGUUGUUUCGAUGCUAUAUUGCUGUUGCUAAUGCACUAGUUAUACCAAAAAAUUCAUCGUAGCACAGCAGAACGAUAUAAAUUAAAAUUAUUCAAUUUAUACAGCGAAUAAAGGGAUUUUAUUGUCGACGAGUAUAUCGGUAUACUCUAAAACUAUAUGUAUAAAGAAAUGCAUAAUAAAGGAAUUUAUACUAUUUGUAA